rnacentral:tRNA from 1 species
GGGCCUAUAGCUCAGUUGGUUAGAGCAUUCGACUCAUAAUCGAACGGUCCUAGGUUCAAGUCCUAGUGGGCCCA